GUAGGGAAUAUUGCACAAUGGAGGAAACUCUGAUGCAGCGACGCCGCGUGAGUGAUGAAGGCCUUCGGGUCGUAAAGCUCUGUCGCAGGGGAAUAACACAAUGAAGGUACCCUGUAAGAAAGGAUCGGCUAACUUCGUGCCAGCAGCCGCGGUAAGACGAGGGAUCCUAGCGUUGUUCGGAAUCAUUGGGCGUAAAGCGUAUGUAGGUGGCUAUGUAAGUCAGAUGUGAAAGCCUGGGGCUCAACCCCAGAAGUGCAUUUGAUACUGCGUAGCUUGAGUGUCGGAGAGGUUACUAGAAUUGUUGGUGUAGUGGUGAAAUACGUAGAUAUCAACAGGAAUACCGGAGGCGAAGGCGGGUAACUGGCCGAACACUGACACUGAGAUCCGAAAGCGUGGGGAUCAAACAGGAUUAGAUACCCUGGUAGUCC
rnacentral:rRNA from 1 species